rnacentral:rRNA from 1 species
AAACGUAGGAGGCUAGCGUUAUCCGGAUUUAUUGGGCGUAAAGCGCGUGCAGGCGGUUUAGUAAGUUGGAUGUGAAAGCUCCUGGCUUAACUGGGAGAGGUCGUUCAAAACUGCUAGACUAGAGAAUGGGAGAGGGAGGUGGAAUUCCGGGUGUAGUGGUGAAAUGCGUAGAUAUCCGGAGGAACACCAGUGGCGAAAGCGGCCUCCUGGACCACUUCUGACGCUAAGACGCGAAAGCUAGGGUAGCAAACGGGAUUAGAGACCCCGGUAGUCCUAGCCGUAAACGAUGUGGACUUGGCGUUGGCGGAGUUAAAUCUGCCAGUGCCGAAGCUAACGCGAUAAGUCCACCGCCUGGGGACUACGACCGCAAGGUUAAA